UAAUCCCGACACUAGGAAGGUUGAGACAGGAAAUGAUAUGGGUGGGUGGAGAAAGGUAUGCAGGAGACAGGAACAAAAGCCUUUUCAGUUGAGGAAGCUCAUUCGGCUAGAGGCCUUUCAGGCUGAGGAGUUGGUGAAGUAAGAGGUGGUGGCUGUGGCUUGCUCUGCUUCUCUGAUCUUCAGUUAAAUUUUAUUAGGGUACACAAUAUAUCACCACAAAGUCUCAUUAUGAAGUCAGACUGGCUGUAAGCCUGCAAUCUUCCUCCCACAGCCCCUGAGGUGAUGACAUUGCAAACCAGCACCACGGCAUAUGGCCCCCAGUUUUCUUACUAAUGUAUCUAUAUGUGCACAUGGAGGCCAGAGGACAGUUUGAGGUGUCAUUCCUCAAGAGGUGUCCACCUUCUCACCAAGUCUGUGAGGUCCGGGGAUCUGCCUCUCUGCCUACCCAGUGCUGGGAUUGCAAGCGCGCUUUCAAGGGUUAUUCACUUCAGCAAGGGAAGCUUACCAGCGGCUAUAACACGAAGAAGUAUGACUCCUCCCGUGGGGAGAAGCGGCCCUCUAUGAGCCCCUCCCCGACCCACAGUGGAGUGCUGAUGGACUUGUUUUACACAAGUAGCCGUUGUGGACGUGUGUUCACGGGUGCCACAGUUAGGUCAGGCAUGUCCAGGAACCAGCCCUUCACAACAUCCCUCCCGCCCCCCAGCUUUCUCUUUCCUUUUCCUCAGUGUUCCCUGAGCCCUGUAGGGGGCGAUGUAGAGAUCCCAUUGACGGUUGAGCGAUCCAGUCAUCACUUCCUCUCAGCGUUUGGCCAGUUGUGAGUCUCUACACACUACAAAUAGAAGCUUCUCUGGCUAACCAUGAAUGGCAGUGAUCUAUGGGGAUAGACCUAAAUACUUAGAAGGCCGUUUGAGGCCAUGCCCACUUAGCCGAGUAGCAGUGCUAAGAUCCCUGUAAGGUUUAUGUCCUCUCCAGCUCUGGGUUUGUGAGGGGGUUACAGUACCAGAAAUAGAUUCCUCUUUCGGAGCAGGCUUCAGAUUGAACCAGAGAGUGACAGUCACACCUGUCUUGUACCAGUGGGCACAUCUUACCUGGCAGUUGGUACUGUAGUUCAUAGGGCUCACAGUGCUGGGAAUUGAAUCUAAGGUCUUGUUCCUGUAGACAAAUGCUCUUCUACCGAGCUACACCCCCAGCAACAGAGGAUGUGUUUAGGCUUGGCUACCAGUGAGAGUUCCCGUGAAGAAAAACACCAACAUGAUUACAAUCUGUGAUGAAUGGCAAACAGAUGAAAAGAAAACCAGAAAGAAUAAAUACACUUCACCUCAGAGUCUUGGAGAGCUACAUGCUCAGGAGAUAGUUUGAAAAGGCUUAAAAAUUGCAAGAAAGGGCUGGAAUGAUGGCUUAGCAGAGGCUGCGUAAGCUCUUUGAAGCCUGCAAAGUGUGGUGAGGAUUUGGCCAGCCGGUGAAAGCAUUUGCCCCUUAGACCAGGGCAGAAAGAAAACAAGUUUGUUCAGUACACUGCGCAGAGAGCAGUGGGCAGUGACACAAAUGACAGCCCUUAAAACGUUGUCACGUGUGUAAGAUGUAAGUGUGCAUACAUCUGCAGAGUCAGAGAUCAACUUUUAGGAAUGGGUUCUCUCCUUCCACUGGUUUUGUUUGGAAAUAAGGAAGAUUAUGCAUACAGUACGAGCUUGAACAAGUACAGAAUUAUCUACAAAGUAGCAGGUGUCUAUCACCAACCUCUCUCCUCGGAAAUGAUUACUGCUGGCAGCUGGGUAUGGGCUUUGAGACUGUAACCAGGGAGACCGAGCAGUGGAAAAUCACGUGAUGCUAGUGAGUUCUAUGAAGGGGCCACCUUAGAAACGUGCAUCUCAUAAAAUAAAGGGCAAAAACUGUGUACAAAUGCCACAUGCCUCCUGGGAGACAGGAAUGCUACUCCCAGGAUUUGCCCAAGAGAAAUGUUAUGUAUACACCAUAGAAUGCCUAUCACAGCUGGGUUGGGGCUCACACCCAUCAUCCCAGCAUGCAGAGGUAGGUGGCUCUCUGUGAGCUCCAAGUCAGCCAGAACCAGAGUGAGUUCCAAGAUACCCAGGGCUAGAGUGACAGCCUGUCUUAAAUCAAAAACAAAACAAGCACCAACAAACCAACCAGACAACCAGGAAUGUUUGUCAAGGUAUAUUUCUAAUAGCAAAAAUCUGGGAGCAACGCAAUGCCUGUGGAUACAGAGUGGACACAUGACAGGAAUCUGUGGGCAGGUAGAGUACUCUACAGGGAUAUAGGCAGGAGUGAAUGAAAGUGCUUUGUGCUAUUCUGACUCAAGGCCAGAUCCAAUAGUACACCCACAUGACUGCACGGAGUUCACAUUAAAAAUGUAAAAGCAGACAAAAAAACAAAACAAAACAACAAAACAAAACAAAACAAAACAAAAAAAACUCAUGGCCAGAAAACAAGGGCUGGGAGAUGCCCAGCCAGUGAGGUGCUUGCUCUGCAGUCAUGAGCACGAAAGGUUUGUCCCUGGCACCCAUGGAAAGGACAGGGGUGCAGAACAUGCCUGUAAUCUCAGUGCUGGAGAGGUGGAAACAAUAGAAACAGUGUGAUUUGCUGGCCAGCCACUUGGACCAAUUGGUGAGCUGCAGGUUUGGUCUCAAAACUAAACUAGAGAGCGAUCUAGGAAAACACUGAAUGCAGAUCUCUGGUCACCAUGUGACCUGUGCAAGCAAACACAGACAGGCAGACACACAGAGAAACAGAGAAAAGCACACACACACACACACACACACACACACACACACACACACACACACCACGGGAGAAAUGUUUCUGGGAUGUACACAGCACAGUUUGGGCUGGACACAUUUUUUUGUCGUCUUCUGAAGAUGUUUAUAUUUUACAAAUGAAAGCAAAGCCAGUCACCCAACCUGAAUUAAAGUCACUUCACCUGAGUCACAUGGGGCUCUCAACACAAUGAUUUAUAAAAAUAGAUAUAUUUCCUCUGUGUUUACUCCUGCUUAAUACAUCAAUCUUCCACCUGAAGCAGACACCCCAACCUUCCACCAGACACCCCAACCUUCCACCAGACACCAGAGGUACCCAACCUUCCACCAGACACCACACGGAUAUGCCAGCAUGCUACCAGAUACUAAAGAUACAGCGAUGUUCCACAAGACAACACAAAGAACCAACCAUCCACCAGAUACCACACAGAUAGACCAACAUACUACCAAACAAAACAGACACACCACCCUUGCACCAGAAACCACAGAAACACCAACCCUCCACCUGAUAAACACAGAUACACCAACCAUAUACCAGAAACCAGACACACCAAACUUCCACCAGAUACCACAGGCACACCACCCUUCCACCAGAUACCACACAGACAUACCAACCUUCCACAAGACACCACAGAAACACCAGCCUUCCACCAGACACCACACAUAGACACCAACAUAGUGCCAGACACCACAGAUACACCAGCUUUCCACCUGACACAACAGAGAUACAUAAAUAGAUUACCAGGCAGCACAGAUACACCAAUCUUCCACAACACACCCCAAAUACACCAACUUUCCACCAGACACUACACAGACAUACCAACACACUACCACACACCACAGAUACACCAACAUUCUACCAUAAAGCAGAAAUAUGUCAAAAUACUACCAGACACACAGAUACAUCAAUUAUAUACCACAAACCACAGAUACACCAACUUUCCACCAGACACCAUAGAUAUUCCAAAGAUCCAGCAGACACCACACAGAUAUGCCAACACUCUACCAGAUACCACAGAUACAACAGUCUUCCACAACACACCACAGAUAUAUCAACCUUCCACCAACACCACAAGAUGCACCAAAAAACUACCAGACACCACAUAGAUAAACCAACACACUACCAGACACUACCACAAACACACCAACCUUCUACCAGACACCACAGAUAGAAAAAAAUCCAUUAAUAUCACAGAUACACAAUCCUUCCACUAUACACUACACAGAUAUACCAACUUCCACCAACUACUACAACAGAUACAGCCUUCCACCAAAAACCACAUAUACAUCAACCUUCAACAAGACAUCAGAGAUACACCAACCUUCCACCAGAUAGAAGAUACACCAACACACUACCAUACACCACACAGAUACACCAACCUUCCACUAGACACCACACAUACACCAAUCUUGCACCAGACACUACACAGAUACACCAAAAUACUACCAGACAACACAGAUACACCACACCAACCUUCCCCUAGAAAUCACAGCCACACCAACUUUCUACCCAAUACCACAGAUACACUAACCUUCCACCAGACACCACAAAUACACCAAACUUUUACUAGAAAGCACAGAUACCAUAACAUACUACCAUAAACCAGAUGCAUCAACAUACUAUAAGAUACCACAGCUACGCCAACCUUAUGCCAGACACCAAACAGGUACACCAACAAACUACCAGACACCACCGACACACCAACCAUACACCAGAAUCCACAGAUACACCAACCAUACACCAGAAACCACAGAUACACCAACCAUAUACCAGAAACCACGGAUACACCAACCAUACACCAGAAACCACAGAUACACCAACAUUCUACUGGAUACCACCACAGAUACACCAACACACUUCCACAUACCAUCGAUGCACCAACAUUCUACAGUUUUCUGUAAUUAGAAUAGAAAGUAAAUUAGUUACAAAACUUUUGACUCAACAAGAUAGGAUAGAUAAUGGAAUAUU